rnacentral:snoRNA from 1 species
GUUACCAAUGAAUAGAUUUUUGUAUGAACCAAGCAUUAUGAUUAAUGCAACUCUGUAUACCUGAGAUGUAGA